rnacentral:rRNA from 1 species
CCUACGGGUGGCAGCAGUGAGGAAUAUUGGUCAAUGGACGAGAGUCUGAACCAGCCAAGUAGCGUGAAGGAUGACUGCCCUAUGGGUUGUAAACUUCUUUUAUAUGGGAAUAAAAUGUUCCACGUGUGGGAUUUUGUAUGUACCAUAUGAAUAAGGAUCGGCUAACUCCGUGCCAGCAGCCGCGGUAAUACGGAGGAUCCGAGCGUUAUCCGGAUUUAUUGGGUUUAAAGGGAGCGUAGGUGGAUUGUUAAGUCAGUUGUGAAAGUUUGCGGCUCAACCGUAAAAUUGCAGUUGAAACUGGCAGUCUUGAGUACAGUAGAGGUGGACGGAACUCGUGGUGUAGCGGUGAAAUGCUUAGAUAUCACGAAGAACUCCGAUUGCGAAGGCAGUUCACUGGACUGCAACUGACACUGAGGCUCGAAAGUGUGGGUAUCAAACAGGAUUAGAUACCCGAGUAGUC